GGGAACCGUAUGCGGGAAAGCCGCUCGUACGGGUCUGUGGGGGAGCGGGGAGGUAACGAACCGCUCUACCCGGAA
rnacentral:misc_RNA from 1 species